GAUUUCAGUAGAUGGAGGCGCAUCCCACACAAGUUCCUGUGUAUGAAGGGAACGCUGCAGCGCUCAACAGAAUCCAUUUGGCCCCAUCCUUCCCCCAAGCUACCCCACUCUGGGUAUCUCUCAUGUCGACCUCUCUUGCUAAGAUCUUAAAUUAUCCUUAUCCUUCUGAAAGCUAUACUUCUUAAUGGUGAUCGUUUGCAUUUUUACAACUGAUUGAACCGUACAGAAUACAGUUCUCAACAGCUAUUAAGGGAAGUCCUUCUUUGCUUGGCAAAUGCUUAUUGAGUUGAGGAACAAAGCUGUGAGCCUAUUAUGUGAAACUGUAAUGCGAGAUCCAUUGUUUGAAGGUUUACUGUUGUCCUUUCUCUCUUUUUUCUUUCCUCCCCCCCCCCCCUUUUUGCCUGAGCAGGAUGUGAAUAUCUCUGGUGGAUGGAGGUUAGCUAAGUAAGUCAUGCAUAGAUGGAAUUUAUUAAGUUUGCACGGUAGUGACAGCUGUGAGUGGGAACAGUAACUCCAAGUGUGCCAAGGGCUUGAAGAGAAAGAAUUUUCAUAUGUGUGUCUUAAAGGAAAACUGCAGCGUAAUUACGAAAGCUGUCCUAACCACUGCAUCCAAUUACAGAGGGAAUUCGCUAAAUAUGAUUUUAAAAUUGUAAUAAUUUGACAGAAGGCUGCCAUUUUGAGUCUCAGGAGGCAGAUUAGGACAGAGGAAAGUCAAGUUUCAUUAAGAACCACUGGAAAUCAGACAAUUUAAGGUAAAUUCAUUUAAUUAGAGAUACAUAUAGCACUGUCUGUAUAAUCAAAUAGCUGCUUUAAGAACUCUGUUAAAGGAACUAAUGUGGAUUCUUUUGAAUAUGGGAUUUCCCACGUAAUACUUUUGAAAUGUAGUCUUGUAGCAGAAAUGUUCCUCCUCCUUAAUAUACUCUGCCUCUCACGAUGACAGUGACUCUGACAGGAAUAUCAUUUUAAAGUAUGUUUUCCUUUAGUAAAAGGAUGGUUCUGUCCAUGAGGUUUGAUCCAACAAAACAGACAGAUAAAGUUCAUCUCCUACUUUAGGACGCUCUUAACCAGCCUACGAAGGCUUUUCCUCCAGCCUCUUGCUCUUCGCUGAUGUAACUAAGAGCAUGUACAGCUAGGAGACAAAGUGCCUUAUGCUAGCGUGAUUCUUCCUUUGACUUGUGCAUAUUUAUUAGAAUGUGUGUAGAAUGUUUGCAACAGGGGGCGGGUCGGACAAUAGCAAUCUGAACUGAGAAGACCGCCAGGCAAAAGGCCACACACCACGAUGAACGUGGAUGCCUGCUGGAACAAUGAUGUAUAGGAGCUAAAGUUGAGGUGGGCUGAGAGGGAGGGCAGGAAUACAGGGGGUCUCUGUUUCUGUAGCAAUGCAGCUACAUCAGGCAUAUGCAAACUUGGCCCGCCAGAUGUUUUGGGAUUACAAUUCCCAUCAUCCCUGAACCCUGGUCCUGUUAGCUGGGGAUGAUGGGAGUUGUAGUCUGAAAACAUCUGGAGGGCCAAGUCUGCCUAUGCCUGAGCUACAUCCUCUCCUGUUUGGGGGGUGGGGAAUGGAGAGGAGACGGGGUUUCUGUCAAGCAUAUGGCCAAAUCAUCAUCAGCCAGCCACUGGCAAAGGAGGACCAGCCCAAAGGUUCCAUAGCGAUGCAGAGGAAGAGAAAAUUGAAGGCGGAAGAGAGAUAAGAUAGAGGGGAUAAUGCAAGGGUCAGCAAACUUUUUCAGCAGAGGGCUGGUCCACUGUCCCUCAUACCUUGUGUGGGGCAGGACUAUAUUUUGAAAAAACAACAACGAGUGAAUUCCUAUGCCCCACAAAUAACCCAGAGAUGGGCACGUUCUACUCAUGUAAAACCAUGCUGAUUCCUGGACCAGAUUUAGAAGGCAAUUGGGCCAGAUCCAGUCCCCAGGCCUUAGUUUGCCUACCCAUGGGAUAACAGAUCCUGUAGACCCUUGCUUCUCACAUCUGAGACCCAAGCUAAGGUGGCAGCAGUGCAGGACACCCAUCAGUCCUUUCCUGCCAUAAUCAUUCCUGAUUAUGAGUAGAGUGUCCUCUGCACCUAUAGCUCUAUAGACUUUUGACACCCAUUAGCAUAGGUUGGGCAGGGAGUCUGCUGUUUCAGAGUCCUUCUUUUGCACACCUUCAUGCAGCCAUCUUGAUGAAGCUGCCCCUCUCUUGAAGGAGCAGGAAACAAAACUGCAACCCACUGUGAAGAGGAAAAGGGGUCAGUGGGCAGGGGGAGAAGGGCUAGUAAUGAGGCACAGCAGAGUUAUCUUAGAUGGCUGAAUCAUGGGACUUUUAUCAGAGCAGGAGUGAUGACAUCAUCUGCCAGAGUAUAAUUGAUGGACACUCCUUGUUCUGGCAAGCAACUGAGGUGAUAAUGAGGCUUUCACAUUUGUUUGUGAGAACAUAGAGGGAGUCAUAGAAGAAGAAAAAUAAGCAGAGGCUGGAUACUUCUUUCCUUUUGUUUGAUGGCAUUCUUACUUCAUUCUAGCAGUUUAAAUGAUAACGCUUCCUUGCAAGACUGUUUUUAUUUCAUCUGACUGAAAAUCUUUCGUGUUUUCCAAGUUAAACCUAUACAACUGGAAGUAAGCACCACUG
rnacentral:lncRNA from 1 species